rnacentral:rRNA from 1 species
UGGGGAAUCUUGGACAAUGGGGGCAACCCUGAUCCAGCCAUGCCGCGUGAGUGAUGAAGGCCUUAGGGUCGUAAAGCUCUUUCGCCUGUGAAGAUAAUGACGGUAGCAGGUAAAGAAACCCCGGCUAACUCCGUGCCAGCAGCCGCGGUAAUACGGAGGGGGUUAGCGUUGUUCGGAAUUACUGGGCGUAAAGCGCACGUAGGCGGACCAGAAAGUUGGGGGUGAAAUCCCGGGGGCUCAACCCCGGAACUGCCUCCAAAACUAUUGGUCUAGAGUUCGAGAGAGGUGAGUGGAAUUCCAAGUGUAGAGGUGAAAUUCGUAGAUAUUUGGAGGAACACCAGUGGCGAAGGCGGCUCACUGGCUCGAUACUGACGCUGAGGUGCGAAAGUGUGGGGAGCAAAACAGGAUUAGAUACCCCUGGUAGUCCACACCGUAAAACGAUGAAUGCCAGUCGUCGGGGUAGCAUGCUAUUCGGUGACACACCUAACGGAUUAAGCAUUCCGCCUGGGGAGUAC